rnacentral:lncRNA from 1 species
GCCCUGAAGAUUGCGCUUAUCAUGUGUUAAUGUCAAACGCGUAGUUUAUAUUACUUACGUACCCCCAGAAUGCUCGUAAAACCUUACCUUUAAGAUCAGAAAAUCUUUAACAAUGGCGUUUGUUAUCGUAAAGGAUAGCCAUAAUAUGAAAGGCAAAGCAGCAAACCAAGUGAAAAUGAAACUGAAAGGCUCCGGAAGCUGCAAAUCGACAAAUUAUAGCACUGUUUAUACUUCGAGUGAGAAGUAUAUUUCAUACAUCCCGAUAUCAUCUCACUGUACGAAGUUUCAUGAAUAGUACUACGAUCUUUCAGCUAAUUAGGUAAUGUUGAUAGGAUUCUCCAAAAAAUGUAGUAACGCCUGUGUUAGAUCAUUCAAAAAUACAUAGAUUUUGGAGGAUAUGACACACACCCGCUAUUUUUGAAGAGCUAACCAAUAUAGGUAACAAGGCUUACCUCCAAGAGAUAAGUGAUCUCGAAUCCAGUCAAAUCGUCAAGGAAGAAAAACCUAGCAAGACAUUUACAGAACAAUUAAAUCAUUUUGUCGAUGUGGAUCAGAUGUCUUUUUGACAUCGUAAAAUAGAAAAAGUGUAGCGUUAUAACCAGGUCGAGAAACUAAUAACGAUGCACAAGGAAAUCAAAACUUAGAAUGCUGAGAGAUAGUAGAGAGGCUGUUUCCGAUAGACCCCCGGCUCAAGACGAAAAGAAAGUAAACCAUUGUACUAUGAACAAAAGACUUAAGGGUUGUCGACUUACCCUGAGCAUUUUACAUUGUUGCUGGAACCACCAUUAGAUACCGAUAAUAUUGUACCAAAGAAGGAAGUAUUUCCCGUUCCACAAUUCGGACAAGGGCCCUGAAGAUUGCGCUUAUCAUGUGUUAAUGUCAAACGCGUAGUUUAUAUUACUUACGUACGCCCAGAAUGCUCGUAAAACCUUACCUUUAAGAUCAGAAAAUCUUUAACAAUGGCGUUUGUUAUCGUAAAGGAUAGCCAUAAUAUGAAAGGCAAAGCAGCAAACCAAGUGAAAAUGAAACUGAAAGGCUCCGGAAGCUGCAAAUCGACAAAUUAUAGCACUGUUUAUACUUCGAGUGAGAAGUAUAUUUCAUACAUCCCGAUAUCAUCUCACUGUACGAAGUUUCAUGAAUAGUACUACGAUCUUUCAGCUAAUUAGGUAAUGUUGAUAGGAUUCUCCAAAAAAUGUAGUAACGCCUGUGUUAGAUCAUUCAAAAAUACAUAGAUUUUGGAGGAUAUGACACACACCCGCUAUUUUUGAAGAGCUAACCAAUAUAGGUAACAAGGCUUACCUCCAAGAGAUAAGUGAUCUCGAAUCCAGUCAAAUCGUCAAGGAAGAAAAACCUAGCAAGACAUUUACAGAACAAUUAAAUCAUUUUGUCGAUGUGGAUCAGAUGUCUUUUUGACAUCGUAAAAUAGAAAAAGUGUAGCGUUAUAACCAGGUCGAGAAACUAAUAACGAUGCACAAGGAAAUCAAAACUUAGAAUGCUGAGAGAUUUUUAAGUACUACUCACAAUCCAAGAGCAACGACAGCAGCAGGGACAUUUAACAAGAACAUCUUCAGAUAAUCGACAGAAAGGUCACUAUAAACCUACAAAAAGUAAAGUACAUCAACGCGUUUAACCUCAUAGGCAUCUUGCAUGGAUGUACGAAGAAAAAGAACAAUCAUUUCCACGCGAGGGAGACAUGAAAGAUGAACGUUUGUUAUAAAACUAGUAAAUCCUAUCGAGCAGAGAAGUACAAACCUUUCUACUUCGAAGACUGCAUCUUGGACCCUCAACCACUAUAUCGCUGCCAUCCCUCUACAAAAUUAAGAGACGUCAAAAAGGUGAUACCGAAAGAAUGUACAAAACCUUCAGAAUUAUACGGUAAGAAUUAGUUACUUACUUUAAAUUUGGAAGCUGCAAAUCGACAAAUUAUAGCACUGUUUAUACUUCGAGUGAGAAGUAUAUUUCAUACAUCCCGAUAUCAUCUCACUUUACGAAGUUUCAUGAAUAGUACUACGAUCUUUCAGCUAAUUAGGUAAUGUUGAUCGGAUUCUCCAAAAAAUGUAGUAACGCCCGUGUUAGAUCAUUCAAACAUACACAGAUUUUGGAGGAUAUGACACACACCCGCUAUUUUUGAAGAGCUAACCAAUAUAGGUAACAAGGCUUACCUCCAAGAGAUAAGUGAUCUCGAAUCCAG